CCGAGUUUACAACUCCCAAAACCCCUGUGAACAUACCACUUGUUGCCUCGGCGGAUCAGCCCGCUCCCGGUAAAACGGGACGGCCCGCCAGAGGACCCCUAAACUCUGUUUCUAUAUGUAACUUCUGAGUAAAACCAUAAAUAAAUCA
rnacentral:misc_RNA from 1 species